CAAUAGCGUAUAUUAAAGUUGUUGCGGUUAAAAAGCUCGUAGUUGGAUUUCUGCUGAGAACGACCGGUCCGCCCUUUGGGUGUGUAUCUGGCUCUUUCUUGGCAUCUUCUUGGUGAACGUUGCUGCACUUGACUGUGUGGGGCGCUACCCAGGACUUUUACUUUGAGGAAAUUAGAGUGUUUCAAGCAGGCAUACGCCUUGAAUACAUUAGCAUGGAAUAAUAAGAUAGGACCUCGGUUCUAUUUUGUUGGUUUCUAGAGCUGAGGUAAUGAUUAAUAGGGAUAGUUGGGGGCAUUCGUAUUUAACUGUCAGAGGUGAAAUUCUUGGAUUUGUUAAAGACGGACUACCGCGAAAGCAUUUGCCAAGGAUGUUUUCAUUGA
rnacentral:rRNA from 1 species